CUCCAUGAUUCAGCGGCGGACGGGUGAGUAAUGCCUAGGAAUCUGCCUGGUAGUGGGGGACAACGUUUCGAAAGGAACGCUAAUACCGCAUACGUCCUACGGGAGAAAGUGGGGGAUCUUUGGACCUCACGCUAUCAGAUGAGCCUAGGCCGGAUUAGCUAGUUGGUGAGGUAAAGGCUCACCAAGGCGACGAUCCGUAACUGGUCUGAGAGGAUGAUCAGUCACACUGGAACUGAGACACGGUCCAGACUCCUACGGGAGGCAGCAGUGAGGAAUAUUGGACAAUGGGCGAAAGCCUGAUCCAGCCAUGCCGCGUGUGUGAAGAAGGUCUUCGGAUUGUAAAGCACUUUAAGUUGGGAGGAAGGGCAGUAAGUUAAUACCUUGCUGUUUUGACGUUACCAACAGAAUAAGCACCGGCUAACUUCGUGCCAGCAGCCGCGGUAAUACGAAGGGUGCAAGCGUUAAUCGGAAUUACUGGGCGUAAAGCGCGCGUAGGUGGUUCGUUAAGUUGGAUGUGAAAGCCCCGGGCUCAACCUGGGAACUGCAUCCAAAACUGGCGAGCUAGAGUAUGGCAGAGGGUGGUGGAAUUUCCUGUGUAGCGGUGAAAUACGUAGAUAUAGGAAGGAACACCAGUGGCGAAGGCGACCACCUGGACUGACACUGACGCUGAGGUGCGAAAGCGUGGGUAGCAAACAGGAUUAGAUACCCUGGUAGUCCACGCCGUAAACGAUGUCGACUAGCCGUUGGGCUCCUUGAGAGCUUUGUGGCGCAGUUAACGCGAUAAGUCGACCGCCUGGGGA
rnacentral:rRNA from 1 species